AGGCCUUCCCCAGAAACCAUCACAUCGACAUUUCCUCCCAAUCACUUGAGAUGAAUGAAAACUGAAAAAGACAGAGACAUCCUAGCCAGCCCCUGGGUGGCUGGCUCUAUAGAUGCACCCCUCACCCAGGCUCCACAGCCAUACAAGAUUUCGGACCCGAAAAACAUGAAAGGGGCUUUGAGGUUUUCCGAUGACACCCCUCUCUCUGCCCGUUGCCUGGCUCACCCCCAGGUCCUGACUGGUACCCACACGGCAUCUGUUGACUGAUGGAGCAUACAGGCAAAAGGGGCAAAUCUCUGUUUUUGAAGGGAAUCUCCCCCAGGCUGUUUUGGAGACAGGGUUCUACUCUAGCCACCUUAAGUACCAUCCCAUCAAGGCUUGUGUGGACUUGGACAGCUUCCCUUGGGGAGACUGCAGGCUGGACCUCACAGGCCCUCAAGGGUCAACAGUACUUUGAGGACCCCAUGCUGUGAAAGAAAGCAAAAGGCCAGGACCCAAGUAGUACACAGUGGCCUGGGCUCUGCAGAACACACGUCGGCCAAGUAAGAAGCAGGUGGAUCGAUGGCACUCUUCACGCACCCAGGUCCCCAGACCCUGCAAUGCUGGGCCUGGGUGCAGCUUGUUCUUGGCACUGAAGGGAGGUGGGGGCUGGAGUUUCUGAGGGGGAGGAUAAACCACAAAGAAAGAAGCAACCCUGAGGCGACAGAUAGUGGGACAGCUGUGGACUGAACUUGGUGUUCCUGUCUUCCAUGUAGAUGUAUUAAUUUUCAUAAAUGCUAAUAGUCCA